GGCAUUGUGGUCGAAUUGGUUAGACGGAGCUGCGCAACAGCUUUUAUGGUGGUUCGAGUCCACCCGAUGCCUCCA
rnacentral:tRNA from 1 species